rnacentral:rRNA from 1 species
AUGAACGCUGGCGGCGUGCCUAAUACCUGCAAGUCGAGCGAACAGAUGAGGAGCUUGCUCCUCUGACGUUAGCGGCGGACGGGUGAGUAACACGUGGAUAACCUACCUAUAAGACUGGGAUAACUUCGGGAAACCGGAGCUAAUACCGGAUAAUAUAUUGAACCGCAUGGUUCAAUAGUGAAAGACGGUUUUGCUGUCACUUAUAGAUGGAUCCGCGCCGCAUUAGCUAGUUGGUAAGGUAGCGGCUUACCAAGGCAACGAUGCGUAGCCGACCUGAGAGGGUGAUCGGCCACACUGGAACUGAGACACGGUCCAGACUCCUACGGGAGGCAGCAGUAGGGAAUCUUCCGCAAUGGGCGAAAGCCUGACGGAGCAACGCCGCGUGAGUGAUGAAGGUCUUCGGAUCGUAAAACUCUGUUAUUAGGGAAGAACAAAUGUGUAAGUAACUAUGCACGUCUUGACGGUACCUAAUCAGAAAGCCACGGCUAACUACGUG